ensembl:ncRNA F13B9.9 ncRNA
GAAAAUGGAAAUGAGUGAAAUCAAAAGCAAAGAUGACAAGAGAGAUGCGCCGGGACACAAGUAAUGGGCGAUCCGAAAACGAUAGCUUAAGGAUAUCCAACAUAACAUCUAUGGCGCGAAUGAGACAAAAUGGGCCUUAUCUCAUCUGUAGGUCAACUUAUUAGUGAAGCGAGACAGAAGCGCCGCGCGUAAUGAUACAUAUACUUGAAGAUUCGAUAAUGGCU